UCCCCCCCACCGCCUGCCUGCACCCAUGUUCUACAGAAGAGGAAACUGAGGUUCAGAGAGGGGGAAAAAACAGCUCCAUUCCAUACAGACAGGGCUGGAACACUCAUCUUCUAGACCCAAAGUACAGAGACUGUUGUUUUCUUCCUGAAGGAGGCACUUUAGUCCCAAGGGUGGUGCAUUGUAUAGGUAAUGGUGCACUGGCAGAGGAGGAGAUAGAUACCAAAGUUGUGGAGUUCAAGUUCUGGUGAAUGACAUUUCCCCAGCCUUGGUCUCAGAGAAUUAAGAAGUACCAAGGAACCCAGGCCUGAUUUCUGACUGUUAAGAGAAAGCAGGGCCAGUGUACAGGUCCAUGUUUCUCUCUGCAACAGGGGUUCACUGAGUUCUUACUGCUCAUCUUACUGCUAGUUGGUUCUAGAAGAUUUUUGCCAAGUCUUCACCUGGUCAUCUGCUAUGUCAGCUGCAAUCUGGAGAAGGGAACUGUUUGGAGGAGGGCUUGUUGGAUUUGUCCUGGAGCACUAUUGCCUCCCUGGAUGGAGAGGAGCCUGGGUGCAAGGGGAGAGUCUCUGCCAUGGCCUUCAGAUCCCACAGCUUCCCUGCAGCAGCAGACCAUGGGCCAGGAUGACAAACUGGCCCAUGGAGUUAAUAGGACCUAUGCCAAGAUGCAUUUCCAUUCCUAAGAUCUUUCCUUAGAUCUUCUCUCUCCAGGGGUGUCUGACCAGAGAAGUUGAGGAUCUACAUGUUUGGAAACCACAGAACAAUUUUAAAUAGAAUUUUUGAGAAAACAUUUAAAACAAUAAAUCAUUGUUUUUGUUCAGAGUCCUUUGCAAAUGUGAAAGACCCAUUUAGGGACAUAGGCAUUCCUUUUUCUUUUCACAAAAUGAAUCAGGUUCCUUUUUUUUUUUAAUUGAGAGAAAAGAAAGACUAAG